rnacentral:rRNA from 1 species
UACGUAGGGGGCAAGCGUUGUCCGGAAUCAUUGGGCGUAAAGCGCGUGUAGGCGGCUCGAUAAGUCUGCUGUGAAAGCCCAGGGCUCAACCCUGGGAUGCCGGUAGAUACCGUCGAGCUAGAGUCCGGAAGAGGCGAGUGGAAUUCCUGGUGUAGCGGUGAAAUGCGCAGAUAUCAGGAGGAACACCAAUGGCGAAGGCAGCUCGCUGGGACGGUACUGACGCUGAGACGCGAAAGCGUGGGGAGCAAACAGG